rnacentral:rRNA from 1 species
CGUAGGUGGCAAGCGUUGUCCGGAUUUAUUGGGUUUAAAGGGUGCGUAGGCGGCUUGAUAAGUCAGUGGUGAAAGCCGAUCGCUUAACGAUCGAACUGCCAUUGAUACUGCCAGGCUUGAGUAUAGAUGAGGUAGGCGGAAUUGACAGUGUAGCGGUGAAAUGCAUAGAUAUUGUCAAGAACACCAAUUGCGAAGGCAGCUUACUAAGUUAUAACUGACGCUGAGGCACGAAAGUGCGGGGAUCAAACAGGAUUAGAUACCCUGGUAGUCCGCACCGUAAACGAUGAUCACUCGCUGUGUGCGAUAAACAGUACGCGGCCAAGCGAAAGCGAUAAGUGAUCCACCUGGGGAGUACGCCCGCAAGGGUG